CUAACCAAUCAUUCACUUUCUACCCAGGUAGCAUGCCAUCAUCGGCCCGACGUCGGCUGAUAGUCGGCACCGUCGGCUAAUAUCGGCAUCGUUGAACAGCGC